GAUCUGGAAGAAAGGGGUCGGAAGGUUUGAGCCUCAGUUCUUGGCUCACUGCUCAACUGUUUACAAGGGAACUCUGUCCUAGGAUUCCAGAGUUGGUAGAGAACUUGGAAAAGGCGAGAGGGGAGAGAUGGGAGUCAGUGGCCUUGAUGAGCUCCUAGGGCUCCCACCAGAGGUGACAUGCUGUACAUACACAACCUCAGACACUUCAAAAGGGCUAGCCUUGUUCUUCUUUUAUGAGUGUCUUAAUGGCACACUUAUGUAUACAUGUGGGACGUGGCCGGGCCAGGGCAGAAUCAAAACGUUCUCUCAUGAAUUCCCCUUCCCUGGGAGAAACGGUUUGUGGCGUUUCACAGGCCUGAGUUCAAGUUCUCUCUCUUCCCAUAGGCCUAUCUCUUUUCUUAUCUAUAAACAAGGAAGUAGCCAUAGCCCUCCCAGGGAUGUGGGAUUGGAACGGGAGAGCCCUGCCCCUGAGGAAGGGGCUGUGCCUUCUCAUUGCUCUAGGACACCCCCAGUGUCCUUUGCAAAUUGUUGUUGGGCUGAGACUAAUAAAACAGUAGCUGAAAGGACUAUGUGGGGGCAAGAACUACCUGAGCUGCCCCCAGCAAGGAGGAGACCCUGGGUUUAUGUCCUAUGAAAGCCACUCUGCCUGAGAAACCUUAGUAAGAACACACAGGUGGCAUCCAGCUCUCGGGCUGGGGUGAGGGUCACAUAAGACUGCAGGCGUCUAUCUUGAAACAGGUGCCUUCCCCUCCUGCCUUGUCCUUGGCCUACAUGGAGAAGGCUUUGAAGAUCCAAUGUGGCCCAAGCCCUCACUGUUGAACUUGUGCUCAGGGUCUCUAUACUGGAACAUUCUGUGUCAUCUAUACUUGUCACAGAAAAAGGAACACUUAAUUAGCUUUCUUUGAAAAAGAUUUGCUUUCAGAAUUCCGUGUCUGCUUUCUUAUGAGUCACUGGUCUUCCCGGACCUUUUAAUUACCAUGUCUGUGACCAGAUGGCCUAGUCCUAGAUCAAAAAACUGUAUGGCAGGGAUACCAAAUGCCAUCCAAUUUUUUUUUUUAAAUAUCCAUAGUGGGGUUGGGGAUUUAGCUCAGUGGUAGAGCGCUUGCCUAGCAAGCACAAGGCCCUGGGUUCAGUCCCCAGCUUCGAAAAAAAGAAAAAAGAAAAAAAAAUAUCCAUAGUAAGAAAUAUACACCCAGGCAUGGACACACAUCCCAGGCAUUCUUACAUGCCCAUGUACACCCGUGCAUGUGCACAGAAGCACAGACAGGUCUGAUCUCCCUCUGUGUGUGUAGCCACACCCACCACCUAUAGAGCCAACCCUGCCCUGGGACUCUUUCCUCCUCCUGUUUAUUUUCCAUUUCCCUUUCUAUUUGUUUUGAUAUGGGAGCUGGGGUGGAGCCUGGAGGAAACACCUUCCAGUAAAAAUUCCUUGCAAAGAACGCUUAUGACUUUAGCUCACCGACCCUGGAAACAGUGGGUUGCGAGAAUCUGUGUGGGUAUUGGUGGGGUCAGAGUGAACCUUGGCAAAGGGGACACAGGAUGAGGAGAAAUAAAUAUCAGGAGAGAGGGGGUGAUGAGCCAGUUCAUAACCGGUUUGCUGCGGAAAGGUUCAGUAGCGGAAAGAGUUCAGGAGAGGGAGGGAUGAUGUGGAACAGUAUCAGCUAGGAACAGAAGUUCUAAUUUGGUGUUUUCUAGGGCUGUGGGACUCUCGUAUGAUUCAUUCCCUCCGAUUUCCUUUUCAGCAAUCUCCCUCAGUGAGGGAGAGGUUCUAAGGAAGUCAGCGAAGGUGGAGACUUAAGACUAGAAGGUCUUUUUGGAGUCUGAGCCUCUGAAACAUAGGCUGAGUCUACUGCUCCAAGGUACCAUGGGUGGGACCCAUGGGAGCAUGGGCCCCCAAAGUGUUACAUUUAUGGGAAUUACAAAAGACAUGAAGACGUGACCCAUAUUAAGACCUACAAAUCAAGAAAGCAACGUGGACCAGACCCAGGAUGUGGUUCAGUUCCCAGAGGUCUCCACUCUCUGCUCUGCACGGCCACAUACCUCUUCUAACUCGUUGGGAGGCAGCACUGCCCGGUCCACGUUCUGAACCUUCUUUAUGAUCCGCUUGAUGGUAGAGUUCUGGAAGUUGCUCACGUCAAAUGUCUUGGCCCAGGUGCCAUAUUUCAAGGUAUGGUUGGACACUUCCUUGUUUUUCUGAAGCUGAGGGCACAAAGGAGGUGGUGUCACAGGCUUAGGGUACGUGGCAUGACCUCUGUGUAGGAGGGUCUAUAAAGGUGGUAGUGAGGAAUGUUGUUUCAUUAGGCUGGUAUCUUCACCCUGACAAACACCCUCCACUUCAACCGGGACCAUCUGCUAAUAUGUUAGGUGCAGUCUAGCGAGUAGGGAAAGGAGCUUGAGUUAAGUGUCAUUAGGAUGAUGGCGGUGUGCUGUUAGAUAGAAGCCCCCCCCCCCAUCUUUGGAAUGGGAAGAAUUUCCCUGCUUAUGCAUAACUGCCAAGGGUUGUGUGCAGGAAGAGGAGUUGAGGUGCCAAGGACACAGGGGUUGCAGCUCAUAGUGGGUCUUUUUUUUCAUUUCUUUUCUUUUCUUUUCUUUUCUUUUCUCUUCUUUCCUUUCCUUUUCUUUUCUUUUCUUUUUUUUUUUCCGGAGCUGGGGACCAAACCCAGGGCCUUGCGCUCGCUAGGCAAGCGCUCUACCGCUGAGCUAAAUCCCAACCCCUCAUAGUGGGUCUUAAAUCAACAUGACCACCUGAUGGUUGGAGCACAUGGCUAGAAUUGGCUUUCUGUGGUACAAUGUAUACUGUCACAAAGGAAGGGCCAAGGCACAGGGAAAUGAUCCCCCAGUGGUGACAAACAGGCUGUCGAUCCUUUAAAGGGUGACACUGAACAUCACUUAAAGUCACAACAGGUCACUGAAGUACAAAAGAUUACAGUCUGAGAGCGCUAAACUAGAGAGUGGAGACGAACUAGAGAAAUUCGCUCAGGUGUGGAGUCUAAGCCCCCUAACUUGGAGAUGGAGUAUUGUUUUAAAUACUCUGUUCGGACUUUUCACCAAUUUUGACAGCUUGGUGCUGCGUGUGUGUGGGGUGUCUGUGUGUGUGUGUGUGUGUGUGUGUGUGUGUGUGUGUGUGUGUGUGUGUGUGUGUGCACAUGCUUCAUGUUGGAGUUGGUGGAAGUGGUUCCUACCAGGAUCUUGCUGCCCUCUAUGGUAAUGUUGGUGUUAUAAUGCCAGUUGGCCUCUGCGUAUUCGUUCCACAACACCUUGGCUGUCCGGUCAUACUCCUCCACGAACCUGUUAGCCUUGGCUUCAUCAGUCUCUAGGUCUGUAGGAGGUGAGGAGGAAAACAGACAGGCCUCGCCUUCCUUACCACAAGGUGUGGUCUUAUUGGAAUUCCCUCCUGCUGGCCCCUGGCUCCUUGCCCCCUCAUGGCCCUGCCCCCUUCCAGGAGUCCCAUUUGAGGUCUGGAUUGUCUGGCUGAUUGUUGAUUGGUGAGUUGUCUGGCUUCUGGUUGUUGCCUGGUUUGUGAUCCCCUGGUUGGCUGUCACGUGGUCAGCGGCCACCUGACUCAGGACCAGCAGGAGGUGCCCACAGCAGAGCAGCAGAAAGAGGAAUCUGGGCAGUCCUGGAGUAGCCCAUCCUUGGCCCAUGGCCGCAGGAGAGCAGAGCCCUGCAGGCCCCACCACUGGCCAAUAAGGGCCGAGCCUGCAGUGUGACCUCAUAGAGCAAUGUGCCAGGCAGCCUGAGGGGCCCUCAGGCUUGGCCACACCGUCUCUAGGAUCCUGGGAGAAAGACAGACCCAUCUUUGCAGUAGAGCCCUGAUGAUGAGCCCAGGGGUGGCUUGGCACUGAAGCAAAAGACACUGGGGCUCAGCUGGCAGCAAACUGACCAGGAAGCUGAGGCUUGGGCCCAGAGGCCAGAGGCCAGGACUUGGUCCCAGCCCACUCUCAAUCAGAGCUUUACCAAUUCCCUCUGGAUAGUUGUCUGGUAACGGUGGACGCCACUGAUACUCCGGCCAGCCUAGGACCUCGCCAUUCCGCUGAUUCUGCUCCUGCAGCCACUGGCUUACUGGUUGGAAGUACUCCAUUAGCGCACUGGCAUCCAGCGCAUCUGAACCCACCAGGUCCUUCAGCACCUCCUGCCAGGGCCUGGAGCAGCCAGCCUGCAGCACCUGUCUGCCAAACAGAGUGACCACUGUGGGCAAGGGGAUACAGGGUGGGGCCCACUGCAGUGCCAUUGCCCAUCUGCCCCUCAUUAGCAAAAGAACUCUGGGGUUGGGGGUCUCUGUGAGACUGGUGGGGAUAUUUCCCUGGCCCAUGGGAGCUGAAGGCCUGCUUAAUAAAUAUUUGAUAUGUGAAAGAGACAGGGGGGGAGGGGGCUAGAGGGAGGAGGGGAAGGGAGGGAGGGAGGAGGGAGGGAAGAAGGGAGGGUAGAGGAGUAGAGGAGAGGAAAGAGUUACUCCACGAGAGUCUGGCUUUUCAGUGUUCCAACCACAUCAGGCAGCUACCUGCAGAAAUGUCCCCCCACCAGCCUCUUCCCUCAGCUCCCCCCCCCCAUCUUGUUCUCAAUCUCUGUCACGUACUGGAGCUUGGCCCCUGCCUUGGUGGACUGGUAGAUGUCACACUGGUGUAGUGGACCCUGGUGGCCUGCCUCCUUGCACAGCGCUUGAUGGAACUGGAACUGUAGCACGAAACUCACAAAGUACCUGCGGGCACAGACGGGCGCUAGAAGGGAUGUGGGGAGCUAACAAAAGUCCCUUGCUCAGACUCUACCCAGUGUUCUGCAGGUCCUGCUGGACUAAGGGCUAUCUGUUGGGAAGAAGGCACACAUGGAGCACAGCCCAGGAAGGACCAUGUGGACUCAACCCUUGGGUCCGAAGGAGGACAGAGCAGGGAAGUCCCACGCAGAGGCAUGGCACACCACCUCCCGUCCAUCAGCUGGUUUCUCCAGCAUCGACUCCGCCCAGAACUCUGGAGGCAUGGGGGAGAGCCCCAGCGAGGUAAAGAAUUCCUCUGCGACCCGGAACAUGUGCGUGGCAUUCCAGCCCUGGCCAGCAGGCAGGGGGACGGGUCAGGAGGCAGCCACGUGGAGUCAUGCCCUUUGACUGACUGCCUUCAGCUCAGGGCUAGUGAUCUCCGCCCAGGACAGCCUCCGGCCCAGGAAAGGCAUCCUCCAGCACCCGAGCUGCUCUGGGUAUCGAGGUCCAGGUUCUUACCCAGCAGAUGAGCGGGAAUAGGACCUCUGAGAUUGAUGUAUUUGUCCCCAUAGCGGCGGUGCAGUGCGCGACGGACAAAGGCAUGGAGGUUCAGGUAGAGGGGCUCGACUUGGUGGUAGAGAUGCUCCAAACUCUCUUCAAAGGAGGGGGACUCAUACCAGGAGCGCCAGUAGGCUCCUGUGUCUGAGAAGCCUAACAAGGCAGCAGGACGCAGGUCAGGCCCAAAGCUUUGGUUGUCCACAUCCUAGCUUUGUCUCUACCAUUUCCCUGACUCCAAGCACUGGAUGGGGAGAUUGUUGCUCAAGGUGGCCUUGAACUCACAAUCUUACUGCCUCAGUCUCUUAAGUUCUGGGAUUACAGGCUGUAUAGCUUAGGCUAGCCUGAAACUCCUCAUCCUCCUACCCCAACCUUUCAAAUAUCGAGAUCACAGGUAUGGUUCACCAUAUCAAGGUCUACUCUAGGCUGCAGAAAAACAGGUCCGGGGACACAAAGAGGUAGAGAGGUUUAGGGCCGGGAGCAGAUAGUGCCAGGGGCAACAAUAAGACAGACAGGACAGCAAGGUCUGUUGGCUGCAGGUUUCAUACCAUUCCCACUAGCUAUGAGAUCUUGGAAGCACCAGACUGGCUGUUUUGUCUAGCUCAGGGACUUGGGGCUCGCUGGGAGGGACAGCAGACGAGAAUGCCUUGUAAGCUAGGAAAGGUGUCUGGCUGUCGGUGGAGAGAAAGAUGCAGACUCACCAUCUUGUCUGUAGGCUUCAUUACUGAGGGCAGUAAAGUCCUGAUAGAGGGGCCUCAGUGGGAUACCCACAGCAUCAUGCCAGCCUUCCCAGGCAAACAGCACCUUGGCAUAGUUUCGUGAGGAAGCCAGGAUGUUGGUGAGCUCUGAGAGAGGUGAGCAGGGUCAGUUAGGAAACCAGAGGUGUGCACUGGUCUUCAUUCCCACCAACUUUCACACCGCAGUUUCCCCAGACCAAGUGCAGCCUAUAGGUUAGGGGGGGAUGAGGCUAUCUAUCCAAAGAAAGCACAAGGCAGGACCCUGCUCCCAGGAAAAUAUCUAAGGCAGUUGACACAGAAAGGACAUUUAGAAUAGAUAUAGCCUCCAUGGCUCAUGGCAUAGAAUGGCUGACCUUGUGGUGAAGCACCAAAGGAACCAGGACUUGUGGGAGGCUUUUGAAGAAGGUGAAAGGACCCCUAAAAGGAGAGCUAGGUGGCCAGAAGAAGGCUCAGUGGUGGAGGGUGGGCUAGCCCAGUGGUUCUACCUCCUCAUGUUGUGGGGACCCCCUCCCCCCAGCCAUAAAAUCAUUUUUUGUCGCUACUUUAAACUGUUAUUGUGCUAUUGCUGUGAAUCACAGUGUCAAUAUCUGUGUUGUGUAAAUAUGGUCUUAGGUGACCCCUGUGAAAGGGUAGUUGUGACCCAAAAGGGUCAUAACUCAUGGGGGAGAACCACUGUGCUAGAGGGUCCCCAAAGUGAGUUUGCCGGGAGAAGCAGGGGUGUGGGGCAGAAGUGUGGGUACAACUGCACAUUCCAGCCCCAAUGGGGUACCAGUGCCUUUGAAUUAUUGACAAACAUCAUCCUGGAGGUGACCCAGAAGGACCAGAAAACCCCAGCAGAGACAUACCUGGGUCCAGGGACCAGCAGGUGGCAGUCUUGUUGGGGAAGCAGACCUUGCCGGUGGAGUAGAUUCUGCUCAUGUUGCUUAGCAGAGAGUUGUACUGCCAAGACAGAGUAGAGGAAACAUGAGUGACCAAAUAUUAGCCCGGAGUUAAUCUUCCCACCCCCCUUGGCUGGGAGAGAAAGUGGCUUGGAGAAAGGAUGUGACUCAGACAAGGCCACCCAGGUUAUACUGCUGAUGCCCCUUCCAGUGCAAGCCUGUCCCCAGCUCACAGCAGGCACCAACCCCUGCUAUCCUCUGGCCUCGGCGCUGUCUGUCUUCCCAACCAUUUGAAUGGAGAGAGAGAGAGAGAGAGAGAGAGAGAGAGAGAGAGAGAGAGAAUCUCUCUUUGUAUGUGCAAUGCAAUUCUGAGUAUGAACUCUGAACUCCAGGGCCUCACACAUGCUAGACUACAGUCUGGUAAUCCAGCUACACCCCAGCUCCUGUAUUUGACCUUCUAACAACCUUCUACACCACAGUAAAAAGUAACUUGUCACAUCCUGCGUCUGGAGGGAAAAACCUGUGAACAGCACUCUGUUUUCCCAGAUUCCAGAUAGCCAAGGUCCCUUCCCAUCUGCCUUUUCUUUCCCAUCCAUAACAGGCACUUGGGGCGCUCGAGUUCUGCCUCCACCCUCAGACCUACCUGCAGCCGCUGGGUCAGGGGCAGGUUGGCAGGUCCUAGGGUCUGUACGGAUCCGAUGAUCCUUCGCAGCUUUUGGUCAGUGAAGUUCUGCCAGAUGGACUCAUACAGCUCCUUGGCCUUCUUGCCCCAGACCUCUGCAAACUCCUGGUUGAUCAGGGCCGCUUCCUCCUGUGGUCACCAGGAGGGUGGAAAGAGUAGUCCAGUUCAGGAAGAGGCCAUGUAGAAGAGUACCGAGAGAGCGGACGUAGGCUAAGGGCUGCCAGACCCCUUCUUCCCUCAGAGAUGCUGUCCUGGAGAUGAACUUGCACCCCCUCCUCCUGAGCCCUCUGGUUAGAAAGUGUGGGAAUCUGAUUUAAGGGAACAGUGAGGGAGAAAACUGGGGCCAGAGUAGGGGGACAGUGAGUGGAGGGCCUGGAAAAGAGCUCAACAGGAGCCCAGGCAGCUGCCAAAGGCAAGGGCUCUGGAGCCAAGCCGAGUACCCUGUAUGCAGAUAGUCGUUGCCCAAGUCCUUGAUGCCACUCAAGGAGGAUUUUGGCCUCGGAGGAGCCAGCUUCAUCCACACCAUUCCUGUGUUGGCAUGGAUCACGUGCCCAGCCCGUACAGGAGCAUCAUCGCCUGUCUGAUGCGCAGAGCGGGUGGGAGGGUCUGGCCUACGGCAGGGGUCCCAUCAGGGACCUCACUGCUCAGGGCUGAGGCUGGGGGCCCCUGGCGCCUGCUGCCCUCCCCAGGCGACUGUCCGCAGGCCUGUGAUUGGCUGCUGCGCCCUGCUGCGCCCCGCCCCCGCCCGGGCCCGGGCACCCACCUGGAGCCGCGCAUUCUCCUCCGUGAUGUUGGUGUCGUGCGCCCAGCUGGCUGCGGUGCUCUGGAACAUCACCACCUCGGCACUCGAGUUAUAGCUGUCAGCGAAGAGCUGCGCCCCUGCCUCGUCCGCGGAAAAGUUGCCCGGCUGCAAUCCAGGGUCAAGCGCCGGGGCGGGCGACGGCGGCAGCAGCAGCAGCAGCAGCAGCGACAGCAUCAAGAGCGGCGGUGACAACGGCCACCGCCCCCGCUGGCCGGACGCGGCCCCCAUGGCGCGGUGCGCGCGGUGCGGCGCUGCCCCUUCUCCCGCGCCGCGACCGCCCUGCGGAUUAUAAAACCCAGUCACCGCCGCCUCCCGACACACCCCCACCUCCCCGCCCCUCCGCGCUUCCUCCUCGCUCCAAAGUCCCCGGCAGCGCGAGCCCCGCUGAUUCCCCGCCCGCCCCGGGCAAGGGUAGCCCUGAGGGGCUUGGGAACAGCUUGGGUGGAAGGAUGAGGUUAGGUCGAGCUCUCGCUGAGGAAGCUAGAAAGGGGUCCUGCCGGCUGCAAACAGUGCUGCGGCCCAACCGUGCCCUCUGGCCGCCACCACUUAUUCUCAGGCCACAGAGCCCAGGAGGUUUGGCAUAACCCUCCAAGCCUUUCCGGGCUCUUGAGUGACAAGGGGGCGGGGGUGGCUGGCUGGUGCCACCAGGAUGGACUUAAGGUUGCCAGGUUAUGGAGGGAAGGGUCGCCUGCGUGGGUGCAGGAAGCUUAGGUGUCCUGACAGGCGCCUUGGCUAGGUACUGCAGAUGCCAGCGGCCAGUUCACCUUGGGCGUGGGUUGUUGGGAUGCCUCGAAAUAGGGUCUAUUCUGCUCUACGAGGGGGGAGCCAUAGAAUAGGCCACGAACACUGGCACAUCUGCCCUACUCUUUGGGUACACAGGUGACAGUCGGUUGUUCAGCUCGCAAGAACCAUCAUGCGUUGUCCCAACAGAGCCCUAGAACCUCGCAGUUGCAAGCUUUGAGAGCUAGAACAUGCCUCAGAGACUACAGCAACCCCCCUGCUUUUUAAAAAUGGAGAAAUUACCCCUGAGACAGAUCGGCUUCAAGUCACCUCAGGUCUCCACACUCCCAGUCAUUUCCUCGUCUCCUCCACCUGUCCCUCAAAGUGACAAGCCUGGGGGAGGUAGGAUCGUGUCCUCUUGAGGCACCAGGAGGCUGUGGAGGCUAACUUCUUAGCACCAGGACCGUGCCCCCAAAGAGGUGUGGGGACCCUUGUCCUUGGCAGAUGUGGUGACAGAGUUCAUACAGGAGGUUAUGUGAUCUGGAGACUCAGAGAGAUUGUGCUGGCCUGGGUGACAUGUCCCAGAGAAGAGGUCCUAGGGGGCUGGUGGAGGUAGAGAGAGGAGGAAGGUGGCUAGCACAGGGCCACCUGGUGAGAGCUUAGGUGCACCAUUGCUUGGGCUCCCAGAAUUUGAGGGUUGUGGGUUACGUGUGUAUUUUCCCAUCCGCGAGCUGUUGUGUUUGUGGAGGAAGCAGGCUGUGCUGGUGGAGGUGUAAGAGGGGAUUCUGAAGGUGGUACCUAUGAAGUUCACAAGGAGGAUCCCAAGGAGGAGGGUAGAUAGGCAGGGGUAAGCAAGGAGGCUUAGCUCGUAUCGAUGAGCUCGUCUGGUGUUUUUUCUUUUUUUCUUUUUCUGUCAGAAACAGAACUGAAAGCAAGGAGAGAGGAUGACAGGGUGGAGCUGGAGGCCAAACUUGUCUCUGAAGAGCUCUGGGGUACCCAUCCAGAACAGUGGAAGAGCAGGCAGUACUUUUUCUACUGGCUCAUUCUCAGGCCUGGCUGUGUGGCAAUGUGACAUUGUCUAUACUCUUGGGUUAGGGACUAAGUUCAGGAACGAACAGCUCUGCCUUACAGAAAAACAAUGAAACCAAAGGCUAACUACUGUGAUAAAACAAUCCAGCCUUGCUUACUGAUAGCCUGGGUACUCAGAGUCAUCACCCUCCUCCUCCCUCAAGGUGACAAGGUAUUGUAAGAGCUUGUUGGAACACCCAGCUUUCCUCUAUGCCAUACUUUGCGGAGGAGGGGCCGUUAGAGACCCGGGUCAGUUUGCUGGCUUUCCCGGAGCUUAGCAUGUACAAAGAACGGAGCACAGAGAUGAGUGGCUGGCCUUCCUGCUCGCACUCCUGACGGGAAGCCCCCCGGUCCCUGCAAGAGUGUUCUAUGAAGAACCGAACCCCACCAACUUGGAACUGACUGUAAUACAGACAUCGCCACCCUGAAUAUCCUGAUAAGUCAGAGUUAAAAAUAACUUUCUUAUUUUUAGGGCCCCGCUCAUGAGGGAGAGGGAGCAUAAGAAAAAUACACCUUACAUCUGUAUUGCAGGCUGGAUGUUUCUAUACCCUAGUGUGUGAGUGGUAUAAUUUGACGUUUAGAUAUCCCCAGGAGGGAGGGAAGUGGUUAGGUUCUCUCUCCACUGUUGGCUCCCUCCCCAGCUCUCAAUCCUGCAGGAAGAUCUAAUUAGGGCACGGUAGGUGAAGAGCCGGCCCACCUGUUGCAGAUGGGGCCUGAUUGUCCAGCCAGUCUCUCACCCUUUGAAUCCUUUUCCAGUUGCUCUUAAUCACAGACCCGAGGGAAAACAGUCCCGAAAAAUAUGGUCAACACCAAGCAUUGGUGGGGUCACUCGUGGAAAUCUUACCCUUGGGAAACCAAGGCAGGAGGACCAAAAGUUGGAAGUCAGUCAGCCUGGGCUACAUGAGUUCCAGGUCCAUCCUGGCCUAUAUAGGGAGACCCUUCCUCAAACAAACAAAAAAGCCAAAAAACACAAUACAAGCGUGACGGACAUGGAACUGGAGAGAUGGCUUGGUGAUUGAGAACACUCGCUACUCUUUCAGAGGACCUGAGUUCCUAGCACCCACAUUGGCCUGUAACUCUGUCUUGGGGGGGGGUCUGAUGCCCUCUUCUGGCCUCUGUAGGCACUGCAUGCAUUUGGGACACAGCCACAAACAUUCAUACACACUAAAAAUAGAACUGGGAGCUCAGAAAGAAAGUCAUAUUUAUUUCUAUUGCCUUUCGUUGUCAGUAUGCCAUGUAACCUGACAAGCUAUUUUAAUAAAAUGCCAUUCGAAGGAGGUGCAGGUCGAUAUUGCCAACUAACCCCGGUUAUCAGUUGCUCCUUGUAAACAAGUAUUAUAGAUUAUAUCAUUUUACAACACUGUAUUUAUCGUAUGGUUAGCCUUUGGUUUCGCAAUAAAGCGCAGCUUCAACUAACA